rnacentral:rRNA from 1 species
UACGAAGGGGGCUAGCGUUGUUCGGAAUUACUGGGCGUAAAGCGCGCGCAGGCGGUCUUCCAAGUCAGUGGUGAAAGCCCGGAGCUCAACUCCGGAACUGCCAUUGAAACUGUGAGACUGGAGUACGAGAGAGGUGAGUGGAAUUCCCAGUGUAGAGGUGAAAUUCGUAGAUAUUGGGAAGAACACCGGUGGCGAAGGCGGCUCACUGGCUCGUAACUGACGCUCAGGCGCGAAAGCGUGGGGAGCAAACAGGG